UACAGAGGGUGCAAGCGUUAAUCGGAAUUACUGGGCGUAAAGCGUGCGUAGACGGUUACAUAAGUCGGGUGUGAAAGCCCCGGGCUCAACCUGGGAAUUGCAUUCGAGACUGCGUAGCUAGGGUGCGGAAGAGGGAAGCGGAAUUUCCGGUGUAGCGGUGAAAUGCGUAGAUAUCGGAAGGAACACCAGUGGCGAAAGCGGCUCUCUGGGACGGUACUGACGCUGAGACGCGAAAGCGUGGGGAGCGAACAGG
rnacentral:rRNA from 1 species